GACGAACGCUGGCGGCGUGCUUAACACAUGCAAGUCGAACGAAGAGCGAUGGAAGCUUGCUUCUCUCAAUCUUAGUGGCGAACGGGUGAGUAACGCGUAAUCAACCUGCCCUUCAGAGGGGGACAACAGUUGGAAACGACUGCUAAUACCGCAUACGAUCUAAUCUCGGCAUCGAGGAUAGAUGAAAGGUGGCCUCUACAUGUAAGCUAUCACUGAAGGAGGGGAUUGCGUCUGAUUAGCUAGUUGGAGGGGUAACGGCCCACCAAGGCGAUGAUCAGUAGCCGGUCUGAGAGGAUGAACGGCCACAUUGGGACUGAGACACGGCCCAGACUUCUACGGGAGGCAGCAGUGGGGAAUCUUCCGCAAUGGACGAAAGUCUGACGGAGCAACGCCGCGUGAGUGAUGACGGCCUUCGGGUUGUAAAGCUCUGUUAAUCGGGACGAAAGGCCUUCUUGCGAAUAGUGAGAAGGAUUGACGGUACCGGAAUAGAAAGCCACGGCUAACUACGUG
rnacentral:rRNA from 1 species